GUUGUUGUGCCGAGCUCGCCGCACAUCCACCGCCCGAGCCAGCCUGCACUUGCCAUCGCCGGCCUGCACGUCGCCGCCGCUGCGACGCUGCUGCUCGCCGUCGCGCCGCCGUGCCGCGUGCUGCCGCGCGCCGCCGUGCUGCCGUGCCCCUACGAGCCGCCGCCGUCGCGCUGCCGUGUGGUCACAGCCGUGUUCUGUGCCGGUCGCUGUGAGAAGCAAGCAGCAGCUAGAAGCAAGGAAGAAGAAGCGAGGAAGGAAGAAAGGAAAAGAGAAAGAGGGAAAGAAAAGAAAAGAAAGAGAAAAGAAAAGGAGAAAAGAAAAGAAAAGAAAAAAAGAGAAAAGGGGAAAAGAGGAGAAAGUUGAAAAUUUUGUAAUUUUGUUAGAUUCCUCGUCGAUUCCAUUGAAGGUGAUUUCUCGGUGGUAGUGCUUCCGAGCGUACCUAAGCAAAAUUCCUUCAUCGCCUUCGGUAAAAGGCAAGUAACGUGGAGGUGAUUUCGGUGUUAUAUUUAUAUUCAUAUCUUACUUCUUUGCAAGUAAAAUUGAAGUAUUCAAUAAUCUCUAAUAUAUUCCGAGCAUGGAUGAUAUUACAUUCUGUCGAAGUUAAAUUCAGUCUUAUAUAUCGAUUUUUGAAUAUGUUGUGGCGACCUGAAUCAUUUGUAAUGUUAUUCAACAUGAGUCAUCAAAAUAAGAAUAUAAGAAUUGACGUCAAUUCGCAUGCAUACAAAUGCAUUUAUGCAUUUUAUUUGGUGAUAAAGGUCGGUCACUGUCAUCGUGCGUGACUCGUACCGGUACAUGGAUUUGCAUGAGAGGUUGGCAUCGUCCAACGCAAAACUCUCCAAUAGAGUUGCAUCAUAGCAUUCUUACAUUUAUAUGAUAUUUAAAGAAUGCAGAAUCCUGAAAGUUAAAUGCUAUGAUUUUGUGAGACACUGUGUUGGAGAUUAUCGUUGUUGUUCUCUUGACAAAUACUUCGUCAAGUGAAAAGAUUUUAUCUUUAAACUCAUGAGUUUUGGCUUUCUAUUGUGAGAAAAAUGGUUGUUUCUAAAAUACUCUUAACCAGGUAAGAUAUGUAUUUAUUCAUAGCUGUUACUUGCUGAGUUUGUCUCACCCCUGUUAAAUCUUUUACAGGUACGUUUAGAUUGUCGACGUGCAUUUUUGGGGAUGUAACUUGGUAAUUGCACGCACCACCUCAUCACAAUAUCGAUAAUCUAAAUUUGUGUUUGAAAACCAUGUUUUUGGGUAGUAUGUCGUUUGUGCUGUAAUAAGUUUUGUACUUGAAGAAGUAAUCUUGCAUAUGGUGUAGAUCAAUAUAUAUGGUGGUUACGUUAUUUA